GUGCCAGCCAGCCGCGGUAAUACGGAGGAUGCAAGCGUUAUCCGGAUUUAUUGGGUUUAAAGGGUGCGCAGGUGGUUUAAUAAGUCAGUGGUGAAAGUCUGUCGCUUAACGGUAGGAUUGCCAUUGAUACUGUUAGACUUGAAUAUGGGUGAGGUAAGUGGAAUGUGUAGUGUAGCGGUGAAAUGCAUAGAUAUUACACAGAACACCGAUUGCGAAGGCAGCUUACUAAUCCAUUAUUGACGCUGAGGCACGAAAGCGUGGGGAUCAAACAGG
rnacentral:rRNA from 1 species